rnacentral:sRNA from 1 species
GUCACUGGCGGAGUCAGUGUGCAUGACAGUACAGACGCUGCUGGGUGACCCGGCCCCACCCCUGUCAGGGCCAAUGGUGCCAUGUCAGAGGUGCGAGGGGAGGUAGGGCGGGCAGGGCUGGGGUGUGAGACCAGGUGUCACGACUGUUGUGUCUCCCCCACAGUGCCCUAGAGUCCAUCCAGAGUGCCCGUGCUGCCCAGGCCCCGCACUGGAAGAGCCUCCAGCAGCAAGGUCAGUGUGGCCGGGUGCUAGGCUGCAGGAUCCCACCUCGGGCUCCCGUGCAGUGGCUAUGACUCCGAACUGUCCCUAGAUGUGACCGCUGUGCCGAUGAGCCCCAGCAGCCACUCCCCAGAGGGGAGGCCUCCACCUCUGCUGCCUGGGGGUCCAGUGUGUAAGGCAGCUGCAUCUGCACUGAGCUCCCUCCUGGACCAGCCGUGCCUCUGCCCCGCACCCUCUGUCCGCACCGCUGUUGCCCUGACAACGCCGGAUAUCACAUUGGUUCUGCCCCCUGACGUCAUCCAACAGGAAGCGUCAGCCCUGAGGGAGGAGACAGAAGCCUGGGCCAGGUGGGCAGGGCUGGCCUGGGGAGAAGGAUGGGGCCGCAUCUACACCUGUGCCUGUGUGUGCCUGACCUGCGGUCACUCCGUGUCUGUGUGUCCCUCUGGUCUGUCCACCACAGGCCACACGAGUCCCUGGCCCGGGAGGAGGCCCUCACUGCACUUGGGAAGCUCCUGUACCUCUUAGAUGGGAUGCUGGAUGGGCAGGUGGGAGCACCUGGGAGGGGUUGGGGAUGCUGUGGACCUAGGGGCAGGGACCAGGACCUGCCAACGAGAUGUGGCCUGUCCAGAGGAGGGCUGGGUGGUGCAGAACCCCAUGGAUGUGAACAUUGCUGUUCCCAGAACAGCCCCAGGGGUGGGGAUCACUAGUGUGUCUGACCUCUGACCUCAGCUUCUUCAGUUAAAUGCUCUUUGGCAGAGAGGUGAAGGGGGUGAUUUAAAGUAUACAUUUAGGCAGGGUGCAGUGGCUCAUGCCUGUAAUAACGGCAGUUUGGGGGGCCAAGGUGGGAGAAACGCUUGAGCCCAGGAGUUCAAGACCAGCCUAGAGAACAUAUGGAGACCCUGUCUCCACAAAAAAUAAAGAAGUCAGCCAAGCAUGGUGGUGUGUGCCUGUAGUUCAGUUACUUAGGAGGCUGAGGCAGGACAAUCGCUUAAGCCCAGGAGUUUGAGGCUGUGGUGAGCUACAAUUGCGCCACUGCACGCCAGCCUGGCUACAGAACGAGACCCUGCCUCUCUUAAAAAAAAAAAAAAAAAAAAAA